rnacentral:rRNA from 1 species
UACGGAGGGUGCAAGCGUUGUUCGGAAUUACUGGGCGUAAAGCGCGUGUAGGUGGUUCGGUAAGUCGAAUGUGAAAGCCCCGGGCUCAACCCGGGAAGUGCAUCCGAAACUGCCGAACUAGAGUCCCGGAGAGGAAGGCAGAAUUCCCAAUGUAGGGGUGAAAUCCGUAGAUAUUGGGAGGAAUACCGGUGGCGAAGGCGGCCUUCUGGACGGUGACUGACACUCAGACGCGAAAGCGUGGGGAGCAAACAGG